rnacentral:tRNA from 1 species
CGAGAUGAGGCGCAGUGGUCGCGCACCGGUUUCGGAAACCGGGGGUCGCCGGUUCGAGUCCGGUCAUCUCGA